rnacentral:rRNA from 1 species
GAUGAACGCUGGCGGCGUGCCUAAUACAUGCAAGUCGAGCGAACAGACGAGGAGCUUGCUCCUCUGACGUUAGCGGCGGACGGGUGAGUAACACGUGGAUAACCUACCUAUAAGACUGGGAUAACUUCGGGAAACCGGAGCUAAUACCGGAUAAUAUAUUGAACCGCAUGGUUCAAUAGUGAAAGACGGUUUUGCUGUCACUUAUAGAUGGAUCCGCGCCGCAUUAGCUAGUUGGUAAGGUAACGGCUUACCAAGGCGACGAUGCGUAGCCGACCUGAGAGGGUGAUCGCCCACACGGGAACUGAGACACGGUCCAGACUCCUACGGGAGGCAGCAGUAGGGAAUCUUCCGCAAUGGGCGAAAGCCUGACGGAGCAACGCCGCGUGAGUGAUGAAGGUCUUCGGAUCGUAAAACUCUGUUAUUAGGGAAGAACAAAUGUGUAAGUAACUAUGCACGUCUUGACGGUACCUAAUCAGAAAGCCACGGCUAACUACGUG